rnacentral:misc_RNA from 1 species
GAUGAAGAACGCAGUGAAAUGCGAUAAGUAAUGCGAAUUGCAGAAUUCAGUGAGUCAUCGAAUCUUUGAACGCACAUUGCGCCCUGUGGUAUUCCGCAGGGCAUGCCUGUUCGAGCGUCAUUUCAACCCUCAAGCCUCGCUUGGUGUUGGGCCCUGCCCGCCGCGGCCGGCCCUAAAGAUAGUGGCGGCGCCGCCUGGCCCUCAGCGUAGUACAGCUCUCGCUCCAGGGUCCGGCGGCAGCCUGCCAGAACCCCCCAACUCUGUGGUUGACCUCGGAUCAGGUAGGGAUACCCGCUGAACUUAAGCAUAUCAAUAAGCGGAGGA